AGAAGCAGACUGAUAGGAAUGAAAUAUAUAGGGGAACUCCCAGCAAGAAGGGGAGCAAAGGAGAAACAGGAAAACACAUACAAAUAAAAUAACAAUUCCUCCCUUUCCUGAAUAUCUGGCCAUAAAAUUUUUAUCUUCCAUUAAAAUGACAAACAACAUAUGUUGCAUCAUAAAAGUUGGAAAUAUAUUGUUAAAACCUUAUCUCCACAAUCCCUAAGUCAAAAUUUCCUCUUCAGAACAUGACUUCACCCCUACAUUAAACCCAAGUAUCCACUCCUGGGAGAGGGAUGCUUGAGAACAAUGAGAGGUCCUUUCAAAUUGCAGAAAUUAAAGCUUCCAAGUCAAGAACCUAGGAUAUAGCCCCUUUUUACCUACUAAUAUCCUAUUUAUACUAUGCAUUUCAAUGUAAACAAGACUUCCUUCAUACCAAAUGAGAGGCUGUACACCUAGACACUAAAU